UGACAGUUACGAAUUGUUAUAUGUGACGCUCAGUUGCUCACCCUUACCUAACGGGUUUUGAGAAGUUCAGGGGGGAGUAUGUAGCUGAGAUAUAAUGUACGAAUUGUGAACAUUCUCAAAACUGUAUUGUACAUAGGUUAUACUUUUUUAUUGUGUGAACUUUAUUUUUGUGGAACUAAGGUUUCGUGUGUUAUUGUUGAAGUGGGACAUUAAUCAGUGUAACGCCACCUGCGGCCACAUUGCGGGUGUGGGGUUUCCUAGCCAGAGCUGUACGGACUCCACACUGGGUGAGGAGAAGCCUGCUGCCGCUGUGUGUGACACUGAUUUUGCUGCUGCACUCUGUUUUAUAGGAAUAAACCCUGUUUCCAGCCAGUCCGUGUCUGUUGUCACAACGCAGUCGACCAUUUCACAUCUGCU
ensembl:lncRNA